CACGUAGGGCGCAAGCGUUGUCCGGAAUUAUUGGGCGUAAAGAGCUCGUAGGCGGUCUGUUGCGUCCGCUGUGAAAACUCGGGGCUUAACCCCGAGCCUGCAGUGGAUACGGGCAGACUAGAGGUAUGCAGGGGAGAAUGGAAUUCCUGGUGUAGCGGUGAAAUGCGCAGAUAUCAGGAGGAACACCGGUGGCGAAGGCGGUUCUCUGGGCAUUACCUGACGCUGAGGAGCGAAAGCAUGGGGAGCGAACAGG
rnacentral:rRNA from 1 species